CAAUAGCGUAUAUUAAAGUUGUUGCGGUAAAAAAGCUCGUAGUUGGAUUUCUACCGAAGAUAGCCGGUCGGGUCUUCGACCUUGUAUCUGGUUUUGUCUUUGGUAUCCUCAUAGGGAACGUUUCUGCGCCUUAUUGCGUGGUGCGGUAUCUAUGACUUUUACUUUGAGGAAAUUAGAGUGUUCACGGCAGGCAAACGCCUUGAAUAUAUUAGCAUGGAAUAAUAACAUAGGAUCUUCGUCCUAUUUUGUUGGUUUCUAGGGCUAAGAUAAUGAUUAAUAGGGAUAAUUGGGGGCAUCUGUAUCAACGCGUCAGAGGUGGAAUUCUUGGAUUGCGUUGCGACAAACUACUGCGAAAGCAUUUGCCAAGGAUGUUUUCAUUGA
rnacentral:rRNA from 1 species